rnacentral:lncRNA from 1 species
GGGAAAUACGUGUUGCAAGGGCAACCAGGAAUACGGGUUUUGUAGUCGCGCUACAGACGUAUGUCCUGCACGAGUGAUGUGCGUAUGUUCCUGCAGUCGCUUGUGGUGGACCUGUCCACGAGUCGGAAUGAAAGGUAAACGGUUGCUUCGGAACGACCCUGUAGUGUUCCAAGCGUGUGAGUUAGGUUUACCUUGCAAGGUUGAAUCUCGAUUCAGGAAUCGUCCGCCUCUCACGAUGAAAUGAGACUGCUUAUCCCCUUUUCCACAUAGAGUAACAAGAGCAAUAUUAUGGUUAUCAAAGAUGAUGCUUGACCAAAGAUUAUACCAUGCUUGCUUAGAUAUAGGUGCUUACUUAGAAUGGAUAAUUAACUAGAAUCUGAAAGCUAAAACUUGAAAUUAAGGAUCUACUCUUUGUUGCUUUUUAGCUGAAACUAAACCCAGAAUAAUUAUAAGCUUUCAUAAGUCUAGUUAUGGGCUAAGUAUACCCAACUCCGGGUAAGCCUUGCUGAGUAUUAGUAUACUCAGACUUGCUAGUUGUAUGUUUUUCAGGUGACAUCUGUGAAGACCCUACUCUUCCCUGCCUUGGCCCUGUGCUCUUCCAGAAGGUUGGUCCGUGGAAUGGAAUCCGUCCUCAGCCAACAUUGGUGAUACCGAGUGAUGUCGUGCCUGGGCUUAGCAUGACAUCCGUCUUGUCGACGUGCUAUAGAUCAUCGCGUAUGUUUUCCGCUGCUAAAGGUCUUAGCUUAAAUAGUUUGUAUUGUUUUCUCUAAGUUUGAAACUUUGUACUACUUUUAUAAACUCUUGUAAUCCCCUGUUAUAUAAAUUGUGAUGGUGAUUGUAUCUCUGGACUCACUUUCGUGUGAGGUAACCUUAUUUGAUCCUGUGUAUCGGUGGUUUAUCGGGACGUUACCCGACAGGCCAAGGGAUUAUACCGUUUGAAGCACGUUGGAGCCCUCAGGAAUGGACUCACGUACUUGAGCCGGUAUAAUUCAGGUUGGUUCUGCCACAAGUUCAAGAACGGAGCUUUGAGGCCUCCAUAUAUAGCCAGCUGGGAGCCUCCCUAUCUCGCAAGACAGCCUCGCCACGUGGCGUGCAGCUCCACCUCAAAAGGAUGGAAACCCUCACGGGGGAAAUAGGGAGAAACCCCUCCAUAGCGGGCUGACGUGACGGGUUGAGCGAACCUCAAUAUUCUGCGCUGAAGACACGCACCUGGGGCGACUACAGCGCAUUUAUGAUGCUGACUGAUCAGGGCAACCCCAAUUGACUCGCAGUCACAAGAGGGAUCUCUUGUACGCUGCGUCUCUCCGCGGAUGAGAUAGAGCGAUGCGACUCCUCACCCCAGACAAAGGUACAACGCAGCGGGAAAUAGCAUCUUCACGAUUAAAAAAAUUGUGAAGCCACUCAAGGCCUCUGACGAGUUCAGGGACCCGGGGUCCCCAGAGGGAUCAGUUCUUGUUGAUCGGCCCAAGGCCGUGCUUGGAACAAUAUCACACCCGAUUUUAAGGACAAAAUCGAAAACAUAACUAUAUGUAUGCCAGGAUAAAGUUCCAUACCUAUAGUGACUUCAUCAGUAAAUAAUCAGUAACAGUAUCACAUAAAGAAAACUAAGAGACUAUAAAGAUUAUCAGAGUUAUAUAGCUUAUCCUGGAAACGAAGGCUUCAAACUUCACACGCAAUCGACCGGAGGUGGCGUACACCUAGAACUCAGCAUCAUCUUCAAAAGACUUCACGGCAACUUUCUCUUCUGAGCAGCAAUUUAUAAUAAGCGUGAAUACACUUCUAGUUGGCACUCAGCAAGUGUUGGGAAUUAUAUGACAUGAAGGCCAAAAGCAAGGAAAGCCUGACUAGCUUACUGCGAUAAGCAAUUUUAGUUGGUCAAGUUUUGUUAGCACGUGAUCACUAAGGUAUAAGUUCAAACCAAAACCCACAUUAAAAGAAACAGAAAAGAUAAAGCCGAAGCAUAACCACAACCAUAAACAUGGUCCAUGAUUUAAUUCAUCCUCUAGUUCAAUUAUCAUGUGAGGGUUCAAGCCAUUCGUAAUCAUGAGCAUGGCUGAUAUAUCAGUUUUUACUCUGCAGAGAAUGUACACUUUACCCACAACUCGUGUCUCCCUUAUUGUCCGAGGUCGCGAGCCUCUUAAACACUUCCACGUUGAGUGGCAAGAGAUUCACUACGAGGUCUUUACAAAGAUUCCCUAACUUAUGACAAUCCGCUAAGGUUUCAAGCCAAAGUGGUCAUAACUCUCCCUAGUGAGGUAGUGCCUUAGCCAAGGACCAUAUAUCAAAGCCUCAUGAGGACCGAGCUAUAUCUCGACGAUGCAGCCCCUCUUGCCUCUUCAGUAAGAUUGUCAUAAGCUAGUGUUUCUAAUUAAUUAGCCAAGACCAGAGCCAUAUAGUACUGUGGUUACACUAUUUUCCUGGGUGGUUCUCCAUGUUCUGAUAAAAGCAUAAGAUCUUGUGAUUAACAAUACAAGGAGCGUGAACAUGGAUAAAACAGGUGUAGCAUCAUCAUUGUUGUCAUCAUGGUUAUAUAUUAUUUCCAAACCAGAACUAGUUAUAGCAACUAUGCAGAAGCUACCCAACAAGAAGAUAAAACCCAGGUUGACAAGGAAUGAUUAUAAAGACUGGGCAUAUCCUUAAUUAGGAUCCAUCAAAAUUAGGACACAUGCAUGCAUAAGGAAAAAGUUAUAUUUAUUGUGAUUAUUAGGACAAAAAAAUGAUCAAAGAAACACUUGCCUUUCUUCUAGAGAAUAGGUGCUCAGUGUCUUCAAUUCUUGUUCUUGAAAAUUUCAUCUUCAAAACUCUUCGAUUGCGUUCCUUCUAACGUCAAACGAGCAUUGAGCCCAAACAUACGAGCAAACAAAUAAACAAGAACAACUAAGAACAAAUACACCAAAUAAAAGGAAAGCUAUAAGAGAGUGUACAAAAGGAUAGGGCUUGUUGCUAUAGUCACAAGAAUGCAAGAAACGCGGAAGACGGAGCUACGGUUGAAAAGAAGCAACUAUCGGAAAAUUUGUGUUAUAAAAGAAACAAAAGAACUAUAAGCUUCAUUAUUUUAAUUUAGAAAAACUAAUGUAAAAGAUAUUCAAAAGUGAAUAUCCCUAAUUAUAAUUAACUCAUAUUAUAUUUGCAUUUAUAAUGACGAGGUACAACUUAGUCAAAUUUUAUAUACAAUUGUCUAUGUACAAAUUACACUAAUUGAAUACUUAAUUAUAAAAGAACUUAUGAGAGCAUCUAAAUGCAUAACUUUAUGAUUCGAGUUAAACUAAACAGGUUAUAAAUGGAACACAUUUAUGUUGGUAUUAAUCAAGUUACAUUAAUUAUGAAAACCGGCGUAAAAGACUUAAUUAGAUUUUAAUUGGAAAACUAGAUAAGAGGAUAUUAAUAAAUUUAAAUUUAUAUUUAAUUUUAAAAUAGGAAUUACAGUACAACAACACUACUAAAUAAUAGCUUACGCUAAAACAAGACUAAGACAACAAGAACGGAUCAAAAUGAAUCUAAAACGAGCAAACUACACAUGAAACAAGGUUGCAAGGACCUAUACGUGAUUAACCUAGACGUGAAGGGCUAGCUGCUGAUUUUUACAAGACCCAGAAAAAUUGAGCUUGCAAAUUGAGCAAAGGUUAGGUUAGAUCUAGAAACGACCAUGGGUGGGGCUGGGUUGAAAAGAUGCAAUAAAUUUAGGGGGUUUUCUACAGAUUUUGCAAGGCAAAAAAAACACAGGAUAAUUAUAGAUUUCUCCAGGGGCUAAUCUGUAAGAACCUUCGCAGCACAGCCAUGGUGGCUGGUGGCUACUGUUUUGCAGAUUCCCGACGUUCUAGGGCAUGGGAGAGCGUGGGGAGUGGGGGAAAAGAAAGAGGAGGUCGAGGGCGUUCGAUUUUGGGCUUACCGGCGACGGGGAGGCACAUGGCGACCGGAAUCGACAGUGCAAGAGGUGGCGCACUCCACAUCGUAGAUGGGAGAAAGAGCGUGAGCAGAAAUUGAUGGCAGCACUCUAGCAGGGGCGACUUGCAGGGGUGCACGGCCGCCGGCCGGGGCAGCAGGUAGGGCCGAUGGCGGUGCUGGCUGCAGGAGCGCGAGGGCUCGGGCUAGGUAGGCACGGCAAUGCUUGGUCGUGCAGGGACGUGGGCAAGAUGUGGCAGGGGACAUGCAGCGAUAGGGUAGGGCGCAGCACACAGAGGGAUAACGCGUGCCUUAGGGCUGCAUGCGGAAUUUAUAGGGGCAGGGUUGUUGCGUCGUUCAUAGCGCACAUGCCAACAGGUCGACGGCGGUGCUGUGCACCCUGCCUGAACUUGGCCUGGGCUACAGCUGCGUCUAGUCGGGUUGGACCCGGCUUGGGUGCUUAGCCCGUUAGGCAUAAAGGCCUACCAGCUCGCAAAAACAAAAGGAGCGGACUGGGAGGACCGGUUUCGAGUGGAAAAGAAUGAGCUAUCCAAGCAAACAGGCCGCUCGGGAGAGCGGACCGGAAAGAGAAAGAAUGGAGAGAGGGGUCAAGCAGGCUACUCAACACGGAUGGCCGGGCUUGCAUGGCCAGCCAAAAUGAUUAAUUGGAAUUCCAAUUAAUUAUUGAAGAAAUGAAAAAGGGAUUAAAGAAAAUAAAAAUCCAAGUCUUAAAUGAAAGGACCUGGUCGGAAUCAUAAAGUGUGGUAGAAAGAACUACACAGUUUAGAUUCUUUCUAUUAUAUUAUCUUGAAUCUACAUAGAAUCGAUUAGUAGAUUGAAAUAGUAGUCUAAUUCGACUGCUUUUUUCACCGCAUCCACGGAGGAGGAGAAAAAUAAUACGCGAAUAGAAUAUAAAAAAGUAAAAGGAAAAACCUACGAAUCUUUCAUGCUUAAAAAUGGCGUGAUAUGCUUCAAUCGAGAUCCUUCAAAAAAAAGAACAGAAAAAAUUUUCUAAGAAUAAUAAAAUAGUAUAAAUGGAAAAUGUGCGAUAUGUUGUGAAUAGCUUUGUGUAAGAAAAGAAAGUUUCAUUUUCUUAUGUAUAGAACUUUCUUUUUAUUCGCCACUUCUAGUAGAAUAGAAAUUCUGAAUUACUAUAAUCACCCUUUCUAUUCUAUUAUACUGGAAUAGAACAUAGUAGAAUAGAAUGACUCUUUCUUACUUUCUUAAAAGAGUUUCUUACAAGAGUGAAACAAAACUAAAGAAAGAGAAAAAAAAGUUUGCCAAACUUAUUAAUGCAAAACGAUCAAUUAAAGAAAAGAGUUGAUACUAGAAUUCGACUACUCAAUCAAUUGGUAGUAUCCCUAGAGUCCACUCCUCCCCC